rnacentral:rRNA from 1 species
GACGAACGCUGGCGGCGUGCUUAACACAUGCAAGUCGAACGGUGAAGCGCCUUCCCUUUUGGUGGGUGUGGAUGAGUGGCGAACGGGUGAGUAACACGUGAGUAACCUGCCCCCUUCUUCUGGAUAACCGCAUGAAAGUGUGGCUAAUACGGGAUAUUCUGGGUCUGUCGCAUGAUGGGUCUGGGAAAGAUAUUGUUUCGGUGGGGGAUGGGCUCGCGGCCUAUCAGCUUGUUGGUGGGGUGAUGGCCUACCAAGGCGGUGACGGGUAGCCGGCCUGAGAGGGUGGACGGUCACACUGGGACUGAGACACGGCCCAGACUCCUACGGGAGGCAGCAGGGGGGAAUAUUGCACAAUGGGCGCAAGCCUGAUGCAGCGACGCCGCGUGAGGGAUGGAGGCCUUCGGGUUGUGAACCUCUUUCGCCAGUGAAGCAGGCCUGCCUCGUUUGUGGGUGGGUUGACGGUAGCUGGAUAAGAAGCGCCGGCUAACUACGUG